rnacentral:rRNA from 1 species
UACGUAGGGACCAAGCGUUGUUCGGAUUUACUGGGCGUAAAGGGCGCGUAGGCGGCGAAUCAAGUCAGCUGUGAAAUCUCCGAGCUUAACUCGGAACGGUCAGCUGAUACUGUUUUGCUAGAGUGCAGAAAGGGCAACCGGAAUUCUCGGUGUAGCGGUGAAAUGCGUAGAUAUCGCUUGGAACGCCGAAGGUGAAAACAGGUCGCUGGGGAUGUGCCGACGGCUGAGACACGAAAGCCAGGGGAGCAAACGGG